UCUGAUCUGAGAGCUCUCUGACACACUGUCUCUCUCUGAGAGAGACAGUGUGUCAGAGAGCUCUCAGAUCAAAGAGAGAGAGACAGAGACAGUGUGUCAGAGUGCUCUCAGAUCAAAGAGCUCUCUGACACACUGCCUCUCUCUCUCUGAUCUGAGAGCUCUCUGACACACUGUCCCUGUCUCUCUCUCUGAUCUGAGAGCUCUCUGACACACUGUCUCUGUCUCUCUCUCUGAUCUGAGAGCUCUCUGACACACUGUCUCUCUCUCUCUCUGACACACUGUCUCUGUCUCUCUCUGACAC